rnacentral:rRNA from 1 species
GAUGAACGCUGGCGGCGUGCCUAACACAUGCAAGUCGAACGGAGAUUACGGACGGAAGUUUUCGGAUGGAAGACUGUAAUUCUUAGUGGCGGACGGGUGAGUAACGCGUGGGCAACCUGCCCUAUACAGGGGGAUAGCAGCUGGAAACGGCUGGUAAGACCGCAUAAGUCGGUUAAAUCGCAUGAUUUGAUCGGGUAAUGAGCAAUCAGGUAUAGGAUGGGCCCGCGUCCGAUUAGCCAGUUGGCAGGGUAAAAGCCUACCAAAGCGACGAUCGGUAGCCGGAAUGAGAGGUCGGACGGCCACAUUGGGACUGAGACACGGCCCAAAAUCCUACGGGAGGCAGCAGUGGGGGAUAUUGCACAAUGGAGGAAACUCUGAUGCAGCGACGCCGCGUGAGUGAAGAAGUAUUUCGGUAUGUAAAGCGCUAUCAGCAGGGAAGAUGAUGACGGUACCUGACUAAGAAGCCCCGGCUAACUACGUG